AUUGAACGCUGGCGGCAGGCCUAACACAUGCAAGUCGAGCGGAUGAAGGGAGCUUGCUCCUGGAUUCAGCGGCGGACGGGUGAGUAAUGCCUAGGAAUCUGCCUGGUAGUGGGGGAUAACGUCCGGAAACGGGCGCUAAUACCGCAUACGUCCUGAGGGAGAAAGUGGGGGAUCUUCGGACCUCGCGCUAUCAGAUGAGCCUAGGUCGGAUUAGCUAGUUGGUGGGGUAAAGGGCUACCAAGGCGACGAUCCGUAACUGGUCCGAGAGGAUGAUCGGUCACACUGGAACUGAGACACGGUCCAGACUCCUACGGGAGGCAGCAGUGGGGAAUAUUGGACAAUGGGCGAAAGCCUGAUCCAGCCAUGCCGCGUGUGUGAAGAAGGUCUUCGGAUUGUAAAGCACUUUAAGUUGGGAGGAAGGGCAGUAAGUUAAUACCUUGCUGUUUUGACGUUACCAACAGAAUAAGCACCGGCUAACUUCGUG
rnacentral:rRNA from 1 species